GCCGUUGUAGCUCAGCUGGUAGAGCGCGUCCUUGGUAAGGACGAGGUCACCGGUUCAAUCCCGGUCAACGGCU
rnacentral:tRNA from 1 species